UCAUGAAAAAAGGUCAUAGUAUGUUGUCCAAAAUCAUGAAAAAAGUCAUAGUAUAGUAUGUCGUCCAAAAUCAUGAAAAAAGUCAUAGUAUGUUGUCCAAAAUCAUGAAAAAAGUCAUAGUAUAGUAUGUUGUCCAAAAUCAUGAAAAAAGGUCAUAGUAUGUUGUCCAAAAUCAUGAAAAAAGUCAUAGUAUAGUAUGUCGUCCAAAAUCAUGAAAAAAGUCAUAGUAUAGUAUGUUGUCCAAAAUCAUGAAAAAAGGUCAUAGUAUGUUGUCCAAAAUCAUGAAAAAAGUCAUAGUAUAGUAUGUCGUCCAAAAUCAUGAAAAAAGUCAUAGUAUAGUAUGUUGUCCAAAAUCAUGAAAAAAGGUCAUAGUAUAGUAUGUUGUCCAAAAUCAUGAAAAAAAGUCAUAGUAUGUUGUCCAAAAUCAUGAAAAAAGUCAUAGUAUAGUAUGUCGUCCAAAAUCAUGAAAAAAGUCCUAGUAUAGUAUGUUGUCCAAAAUCAUGAAAAAAGGUCAUAGUAUGUUGUCCAAAAUCAUGAAAAAAGUCAUAGUAUAGUAUGUCGUCCAAAAUCAUGAAAAAAGUCAUAGUAUAGUAUGUUGUCCAAAAUCAUGAAAAAAGUCAUAGUAUAGUAUGUUGUCCAAAAUCAUGAAAAAAGGUCAUAGUAUGUUGUCCAAAAUCAUGAAAAAAGUCAUAGUAUAGUAUGUCGUCCAAAAUCAUGAAA